rnacentral:rRNA from 1 species
CCAGACUCCUACGGGAGGCAGCAGUGGGGGAUAUUGGACAAUGGGGGGAACCCUGAUCCAGCGACGCCGCGUGAGUGAAGAAGUAUCUCGGUAUGUAAAGCUCUAUCAGCAGGGAAGAAAGAAAUGACGGUACCUGACCAAGAAGCCCCGGCUAACUACGUGCCAGCAGCCGCGGUAAUACGUAGGGGGCAAGCGUUAUCCGGAUUUACUGGGUGUAAAGGGAGCGUAGACGGCGAUGCAAGUCUGAAGUGAAAGGCGGGGGCCCAACCCCCGGACUGCUUUGGAACCUGUAUGGCUGGAGUGCAGGAGAGGUAAGUGGAAUUCCUAGUGUAGCGGUGAAAUGCGUAGAUAUUAGGAGGAACACCAGUGGCGAAGGCGGCGUACUGGACUGUAACUGACGUUGAGGCUCGAAAGCGUGGGGAGCAAACAGGAUUAGAUACCCCGGUAACC